CACUCCACACGGAGCUACAUCCCUAGCUUUGUGUGUGUGUAUGCGUGUGUUUCUUUAGAGACAGGUCUCGUUAUGUACCCCAGGCUGGCCUCAAACUCACAGUGAUCCUCCUGCUUUGACCUCCAGAGUGCUGGGAUCACAGGUGUGUGCCACCACACCAUUUCCCAGCCAUUUAAAAAAUUUUAAUUUUGAGACAAGGUUUUGCUAAGUUGUUAAAGUUUUCUGGCUAGGCUCUGACUUCAGAUCUUCCUGCCUCCGCCACCUGCAGUACGGGGAUUAUUGGCAUGUAGCACCAUGCCUAGCUAAGUGCAUGUCUCAUGUAGGUCUUUCUCAGAUUCUUUAUAUUUUGGUUGCUCCUUAAAAAAUCCAGGGGCAGGGGAUUUAGCUCAGUGGUUCUGGCGCCUGUCUUGCAAGGACGAGGUCCUGAGUUUGAUCCCCAGUAUCCCCCCGCCCCAUCCAACAUUUGGGCUUUCCUAAUAUAUCAGAGGCAGCCAGCUUAUAAUUUUCUUGUAUGAAUGAAAAUAAAUGGCUCAAACGGCAAAUGAGACUCCAGUGCACACCUAUUAGAAUGGUCGGAGUGCAGAACACAGACAAGGAGAGGAUGAGAAUCAAUGGAAACUCUCGCUUCCUGGUGGAGGGAAGGUAAAACUGCACAGGCACAUUAGAAGACAGAUCAGUCGUUCCUUAUAAAACUGAACAGACUCCUGUGUGAUCCAGCAAUCACAUUCCGUGAUAUUUAUCAGAUGAGCUGAGCCUGCGUAUCCACAAAAAAACCUCACCUAGGUGUGCAUAGCAGCUCCGUUCGUAAUUGCUGAAAUGCAGAAGUGACUUUACCUUUGUAGAGGAGAGACUGGACUGUGGAAUAUGAUUCAGUGCGGAAAGAAAUGAACUCUCAAACCAGGAGAGGACACAGCAGCUUAAAUGGACAAGAUGAAAAGCCAAUCUGACAUCGAGGCAGCCAUGACGGCACAGCUGAAGACCCUCAGAAAAGAGGACUCCAGAGCUGUCGCAGAGCAAGUCCUUCUGUAGCUUAGUUGGAGAGUGGAGGACUGUAGUGGACGCCUCAGAGCUGCUGCAUCAAGUGGCAAGAACGACGGGAUGAGUGGGUUCAAAGCAAGGGAGGAUUUAGAGGGGAUUCAUGGCAAUGUCUUUACUGUAAUAAAAAAU
rnacentral:lncRNA from 1 species